UCUUCCCUCUGUCGGCGUGCUUAACACAUGCAAGUCGAACGAAGCACCUCUCCCGAAGAUUGACACAGCUUGCUGUAGAUUGAUUCAUUUGAGGUGACUGAGUGGCGGACGGGUGAGUAACGCGUGGGUAACCUGCCUCAUAGAGGGGGACAACAGUUGGAAACGACUGCUAAUACCGCAUAGUAAGAAGAAUUCGCAUGUUUUCUUCUUGAAAGAUUUAUCGCUAUGAGAUGGACCCGCGUCUGAUUAGCUAGUUGGUAAGGUAACGGCUUACCAAGGCGACGAUCAGUAGCCGGCUUGAGAGAGUGAACGGCCACAUUGGGACUGAGACACGGCCCAAACUCCUACGGGAGGCAGCAGUGGGGAAUAUUGCACAAUGGGGGAAACCCUGAUGCAGCGACGCCGCGUGAGUGAAGAAGUAUUUCGGUAUGUAAAGCUCUAUCAGCAGGGAAGAUAAUGACGGUACCUGACUAAGAAGCCCCGGCUAACUACGUG
rnacentral:rRNA from 1 species